rnacentral:lncRNA from 1 species
GGCAUGCGUAGAUGAGACUCCAUCUGCCCGGAGCAGCUUUCCUGAGCCUUGGAGGAUAGCUUCGUCAUGGCUCCUAGACUUCCGUUUAUCCUUGCUGCCUAUCUGGGUUGCAGCCUGCAGCCUGGCCAUCCUGCAGGCUGGGAAGCACAGCCCCUGGCAAAAACCAGACGCGAGCACUUCAGAGAAGGAAGGAUGAGACAGGAAUUGA